rnacentral:lncRNA from 1 species
AUAGGUGGAACCUCUGUGUUGGAGUCGCGAACAUACGCUAGAUAUGCUAGACACCCCUUCUCGACCAUACGUCGAGCCUUGACAUAUGAAAUAACACUCCGGGUGGCAUGACCUGGGGUCCCACUACACUCAAGUCGGGGUAGAUCUAGCAAAUCCUAAGUCACGGCCUUGGCGUGACAAUCUAAAAUAGCAUGAUAUGAGGACAACCAAUCCAUCCCCAACAUAACGUCAAAAUCCACCAUAUCUAAGAGCUAUAAGUCAACACGGGUCUCAAGACCCUCAAAUACCAUCAGACAUGAAUGAUGCACUCGGUUGACCACUAUAGAAUCACCAACCGGUGUGGACACAUAUACAGGAAUACCCAAAAUACAUAAGCUUUUGAGAGCCAAAUUCUUGUCGAAAGUUGUACAAUAGAAUCACCAACCGGUGUGGACACAUAUACAGGAAUACCCAAAUCCUCACUAGGCAUGAUCAAAUAGGGUGCAAAAUAGGAUGACACAUAAGAAUAAGCGGAUCCGGGUCAAAUAACACAGAAGCACCCCUAUCACAAACCAGUAUAGUACAUGUUAUCACAAUACCUAAUGACUCGGCCUCCGGCUUGGCUGGCAAAGCAUAACAACGGGGCUGGCCCCCACAUCCCCUUAUCGUGUCUGUGGGACGAUCGGCUGUGGGAUGACCCCUGCCUCUAGCGGUAUAAGCUCCACCUAUAUUCUCCCUACCUCCACCUCUAUGGCCUCUACCCCCGCCUCUAGCUGGCUGGGCGACCUGUGGAUCACCUGCUGCCGGAAUCAUGGGAUGAGGACCCUGCUGCUAUGACCGAGCACCCCUCAACUCGGGCAAUACCUCCGGAUGUGGCUGAGAUCUCCACACUCAUAAU